UGCCUUCAUAAAGUUUUGUACUAUUUUCAUAACCUUCAAAUUCACAUGUACACAAAGUUAUUCAAGGAUUCAUACAAACUACCAGCUAGUUAAACAUAAAGUUCUAUUAAUAUCAAUAUGGCAAGAAAAAGCAUUCUCUUUUACAUACAACAAUAAAGUUCUUCAGCAAUUUAUACAAAGAGACCGCUUUGUAGAAACAGAGUUCUUUGUAAAAAGAUAAAGUCCUUCAUCAAUUUUCAGCAAAGGACGAUCCGGACAUCCAAAAAGUUCUUGUACAAAUCUGCCCAAAAAAAUUCAAUCUAUGCUGAGAACUUGGAAAUAAAGCAUGUCUAUACAAAGGGAUUUCACCUGUCAGUGCAAACAAAAUAAACUGCAGCUUAUUUUAUCAGAGAGCUGAAAGGUAGCCUUAACACAGACAAAACUUUGUCCAGCUUGUAGUCAAAUCCCAACAAACAAUCAGAGGGCCUAAAUUGUGCUAGCCUUUUUGUGGACACAAAUCGAUCAAGGUAGCGCAUGCAAGUUCAUCACAGAGAACAGAAGACCAAGAUUAAACAUGGUGGAUCCAUGUGCUACUAGAUCCAUCACGCAACAAUCAAUAUUACACUGCUGCAAAUAAAUCCUAAUCACCUUAAACUACAGAUCCAUUGGCAAGCAAGAAGAGGCAAUCCCAGCUCGCGAGCUUGAGGAGGAGGCACAAGACAGCCUGUUCGUCGCCGGAUCUGGUGCCAGGAGACGUCGGGAGGCUUGGUGAGUGCGGACUUCCCAGAUCCGCAGCGAGCUGGGUGACGGCGAGCGAGCCGGGACACCGCGAGGCACGCCGUGGUAUGGAGGAGCUAAUCUGGCCGGAGGCCUCCAGAUCGGGAGGGCCGCCGGCUGUGGGGGAGGGGACGGGAGGAGGACCGGCUGGAUUCUCAGAGAUAAUGAGAGAGAGAGAGAGAAUGGAGGCGUCGGGCAGUAGCCUAGGUACAUAUUUGAUUUGUA
rnacentral:lncRNA from 1 species